AUUGAACGCUGGCGGCAGGCCUAACACAUGCGAGUCGAGCGGAUGAAGGGAGCUUGCUCCUGGAUUCAGCGGCGGACGGGUGAGUAAUGCCUAGGAAUCUGCCUGGUGGUGGGGGAUAACGUCCGGAAACGGGCGCUAAUACCGCAUACGUCCUGAGGGAGAAAGUGGGGGAUCUUCGGACCUCACGCUAUCAGAUGAGCCUAGGUCGGAUUAGCUAGUUGGUGGGGUAAAGGCCUACCAAGGCGACGAUCCGUAACUGGUCUGAGAGGAUGAUCAGUCACACUGGAACUGAGACACGGUCCAGACUCCUACGGGAGGCAGCAGUGGGGAAUAUUGGACAAUGGGCGAAAGCCUGAUCCAGCCAUGCCGCGUGUGUGAAGAAGGUCUUCGGAUUGUAAAGCACUUUAAGUUGGGAGGAAGGGCAGUAAGUUAAUACCUUGCUGUUUUGACGUUACCAACAGAAUAAGCCCCGGCUAACUUCGUG
rnacentral:rRNA from 1 species